rnacentral:rRNA from 1 species
AGAGUUUGAUUAUGGCUCAGGAUGAACGCUAGCGACAGGCUUAACACAUGCAAGUCGAGGGGCAGCAUAAAAGUAGCAAUACUUGGUGGCGACCGGCGCACGGGUGAGUAACGCGUAUGCAACCUACCUAUCAGAGGGGAAUAACCCGGCGAAAGUCGGACUAAUACCGCAUAAAACAGGGGCACCGCAUGGUGAUAUUUGUUAAAGAAAUUCGCUGAUAGAUGGGCAUGCGUUCCAUUAGGUAGUUGGUGAGGUAACGGCUCACCAAGCCGACGAUGGAUAGGGGAACUGAGAGGUUGGUCCCCCACACUGGUACUGAGACACGGACCAGACUCCUACGGGAGGCAGCAGUGAGGAAUAUUGGUCAAUGGGCGGGAGCCUGAACCAGCCAAGUCGCGUGAAAGGAAGAAGGAUCUAUGGUUCGUAAACUUCUUUGCAGGGGAAUAAAGUGCAGGACGUGUCCUGUUUUGUAUGUACCCUGAGAAUAAGGAUCGGCUAACUCCGUGCCAGCAGCCGC